rnacentral:rRNA from 1 species
AGAGUUUGAUCAUGGCUCAGGACGAACGCUGGCGGCGUGCUUCAUACAUGCAAGUCAAGGAGAACGUAUUCUUCGGAAUACUAUUAAACUGGCGAACGGGUGAGUAACGCGUGGGCAACCUGCCCUAGAGAUUGGGAUAACUUCGGGAAACUGGAGCUAAUACCGAAUAAUGCAGCGGAUCCUUCGGGAUACAGUUGUUAAAGUGGGCUUCGGCUCACACUUUAGGAUGGGCCUGCGUCCGAUUAGCUUGUUGGUAAGGUAAUGGCUUACCAAGGCUACGAUCGGUAGCUGGUCUGAGAGGAUGAUCAGCCACACUGGGAUUGAGAUACGGCCCAGACCACCACGGUGGGCAGCAGUAAGGAAUUUUGCGCAAUGGGGGAAACCCUGACGCAGCAACGCCGCGUGACCGAUGAAGCUUCUAGGAGCGUAAAGGUCUGUCGUAAGGGAAGAAAAGUUUAGAUGUAAAUAGCAUUUGAAUCUGACGGUACCUUACAAGAAAGCACCGGCUAACUUCGUGCCAGCAGCCGCGGUAAUACGAGGGGUGCAAGCGUUGUCCGGAAUCACUGGGCGUAAAGGGUCCGUANGCGUUUCAACAAGUCAUUUGUUAAAGACAUCGGCUUAACCGAUGGAGUGCAUUUGAAACUUUUGAAAUAGAGUAUAGAAGAGGAAAGUGGAAUUCCUGGUGUAGCGGUGACAUGCGUAGAUAUCAGGAGGAACACCAAUGGCGAAAGCAACUUUCUGCUCUAUUACUGACGCUGAGGGACGAAAGCGUGGUGCAGCGAACAGGAUUAGAUACCCUGGNAGUCCACGCCGUNNCGAUGAGUACUUGGUGUCGGGGAUUCGACCCCUUCGNUACAGAGCUNCGCAUUAAGUACUCCGCCUGGGAC